GUGAGAUCCCAUCUCUACAAAAAUUUUAAAAAAUUAGAUGGGUGUAGUGGCGCAUGCCUGUAGUCCCAGCUACUUGGGAGGCUGAGGCAGGAGGAUCACUUAAGACUGGGAAGUCAAGGCUGCUGUGAGCUGUGAUGGCCCCGCUGCACUCCAGCACUCCAACCUGGGCAACAGAGUGAGGCUCUGUCUCAAAAAAAAAAAAAAAAGAAAAAGAAAAAAGAAACAAGUGGAGUCUGCUGGAACACUAAAGGCAAAAGAAAGUGUUCAGAAGAAUGUACUCUACUUGAUAAAGUUUCCCACAGGGGUAUGGGUUAACAAUUUUGAUAAUCCUACACAUGUAUACUGGACUUGAACAAUUAAGUAAAUGGAUGGUGGAUGUGGAUGAUGGGAACCAGGUUUCCCGUUAUUGGAGUGGGAAUUUAGAGAUAAGCAAGCAGGAAGCAAGCCAAAUGAUCCCUGGAUUCAAGUGGUAAAUAUAAACAGGAACUCAUGUUUAGCUUAAUAUAUAUACAGAUGGUUACAAAUGGAAAUAUAGAUAUGUGUGUAUAUAUAUACACAUUGGUAUAUACAGAUAUAUUUCUUUGUUCUGUCAGUUGAGAAGGCUUAAAAGAAAUGAUACCCCAAGGCCAGGUGUGGUGGCUCACGCCUGUAAUCCCAACACUUUGGGAGGCCAAGGCAGGAGGAUGGCUUGAGGCCGGGAGUUGUAUCAGUCUGGGCAACAUGGCAAGACCUUAUCUCUACAAAAAAAAAAAUUGAAAAUUAAAAUUAGCUGAGUGUGGUGGCACACACCUGUGGUCCUAGCUACUCAGGAGGCUAAGGAGGGAGGAUCACUUGAGCCCAGGAGGUCUAGGCUGCAGUUUUUAUUGUCUUUAAAUUCUCUUCAGAUAAUUUACCCCCGCAUUGCCUACACAGCACACUGCAGAGUGCUGGGCAACUUGGUAAUUAACCCUCUAAUUGUGUAAACUGGAAGCUUCGUGAGGUUAUGGCUUCAUUACCAUGGCUACGUGGCUGUAGCCAUGAGUGUGCACUCCAGUGUGGGUGAUGGAGUGAGACUCUGUCUCAAAAAGGAAGGGAGGGAGGGAGGGAGGGAGGAAGGAAAUAAAUGACACCCUAGUAGCAAUGAGUGCACCUAGCGCCCAGUUCUUGGUUUCUAAUAAAUACCCUUCUCCGAAACAAUCAAAGCUCUUGCGAAAUGGCUGAUUUGAGGACUGGGGCAGGAAAUACGAAAGAUGAGCCUGAGGCAUCUUGUAGUGCCAGAAAGUAAGGAAGUGCUUGACGGCAACGAGAAAACCCCACAAAAAUAGGGGUGUGUCAAAGGGAGACGGGAGCCAACCGAAAGAGCUCCCAAAAGCCAAAGCUGGAACAACUUGAGCAACAAAAUCAAAUAGUAUUGGAUUAUAACCUAAAGUAUUAAAUAAUUAUCUGUGAAUCCAUACUGAUAUAAAUAAAUUACUGAAUAAAUGAGACAAAUCUUCAGUGUAGAAAAAUCCCAAAUAAUCUAUGUAGCUAUUCCAACCUUAAGGAGAUAGAGCAUAACUCCUCACUUAAGUGUGGCCCGAGCAUAGUGACUUCCUUCCAAAGAGUACAGUAUGAAAAGGGGCAAAAGAAGACUGACUUUCCAGUAGAGAAACCUGACGCAGCACCAACAGUGAUGUCAUGUUGCUAUGUGAGAAACCGCCCCAGCCAAGAGGAGCCCAGAGAGACACGACAGCUAGUGCGAUGAGGCAUGCUGGAUGGAUCCUGGAGUAGAAAAAGAUGGAGUAGAAAAAGAACGUUGGGUAAAAACGAAGGAAAUCUGAAUAAACUGUGAACUCUAAUUAAUAAAUAAUGUAUCAUUAUUGGUUUAUUAAUUGGAACAAAU
rnacentral:lncRNA from 1 species